CCUACGGGAGGCAGCAGUGAGGAAUAUUGGUCAAUGGGCGAGAGCCUGAACCAGCCAAGUCGCGUGCGGGAUGACGGCCCUAUGGGUUGUAAACCUCUUUUGUCAGGGGACAAAAUCCGCCACGGGUGGGCUUUUGUAGGUACCUGAUGAAAAAGCACCGGCUAAUUCCUGCCCAGCAGCCGCGGUAAUACGGAGGGUCCGGGCGUUAUCCGGAUUUAUUGGUUUUAAAGGGUGCGCAGGGGGCGUGUUAAGCUGGCGGUAAAAUGCCGGGGCCCAACCCCGGGCCUGCGUUUGGAACGGGGUGGCUCGAGUUCGAGAGAGGCAGGCGGAAUUCGUGGUGUAGCGGUGAAAUGCAUAGAUAUCACGAAGAACCCCGAUUGCGAAGGCAGCAUACGGGAGCGCCACUGACGCUGAGGCCCGAAAGCGUGGGUAUCGAACAGGAUUAGAUACCCUAGUAGUC
rnacentral:rRNA from 1 species